rnacentral:ncRNA from 1 species
UAAAAAUUUUAUGAUUUAAUAAGUUUAAUUUAAAUUCAAUUUACAUAUAAAUUUUAGUGUUAAUUUUAUAUUAUUUUAAUAAUUAUAUAUAAUUAAAGUAGUAAUUAAUAUUAAAAAUUUAAGAAAUUAAGAUUUAGUAAUAUUUAUAAUUAUAAACAAAUUUUGUGCCAGCAGUUGCGGUUAUACAAAAUAUAAUUUAAAUUUUAUUAGUAAAUAAUAAUUAAUACAAAUAAAAAAAAUUAAAUAAAAAAAGUUAUUAGGUGAAAUUUUAAUUUAUUAAAAAUUUUUAAUUAAAUUAUGUUUUAUAAAAUUUUAUAAAAAACUAGGAUUAGAUACCCUAUUAUUAAAAAUUAAGUUAAAAUGCUAAAAUAGUAAAUAAUAAUUUAUUUAAACUUAAAUAAGAUGGCGGUAUUUUAGUUCAUUUAGAGGAAUCUGUCUAAUAAUUGAUAAUCCACGAAUAAAUUUACUUAAUUUAUAAUUUUGUAUAUCGUUGUUAAAAAAAUAUUUAUUAAUAAUAAUAAUAUUUCAUAAUUAGUGAAAAAAAUUAGUUCAGAUCAAGAUGCAGAUGAUAAUUAAGAAUAUGAUGGAUUACAAUAAUAAGUAAAAUAAUUAAAUGAAUAUUAUUUUGUAAUAAAUAUUUGAAGGUGGAUUUAAAUGUAAUUUUAUUUAGUUUAUUAGAAUGAUUUUAAAUUAAAAUAUGUACAUAUUGCCCGUCGCUUUCAUUAAGAAAUUGGAAUAAGUCGUAACAAAGUAGAGGUACUGGAAAGUGUUUCUAGAAAGAA